GGAUCAAUGGAUUGGUCAUGCCGAUGGUAUGUACUGGUCAUAUUGGUUCUCACCUUCUAAGGAACCAUAAUGUCAUUUAUUUGAUGUUGUGGGGAAUUAGGACUGUUACCUUGAAAAAAUUAGAGUGUUUAAAGCAGGCUAACGCUUGAAUACAUUAGCAUGGAAUAAUGAAAUAGGACAUCGCAUUCUAUUUUGUUGGUUUCUAGGAUCGAUGUAAUGAUUAAUAGGGAUAGUUGGG
rnacentral:rRNA from 1 species